rnacentral:rRNA from 1 species
AUUGAACGCUGGCGGCAGGCCUCACACAUGCAAGUCGAACGAGUGGCGGACGGGUGAGUAAUGUCUGGGAAACUGCCCGAUGGAGGGGGAUAACUACUGGAAACGGUAGCUAAUCCCGCAUACCCUCGGAUGUGCCCAGAUGGGAUUAGCUAGGAGGUGGGUGAACGGCUCACCUAGGCGACGAUCCCUAGCUGGUCUGAGAGGAUGACCAUCAACACUGGAAAUGAGACACGGGCCAGACGCCGACGGUAGGCAGCAGUGGGGAAUAUUGCACAAUGGGCGCAAGCCUGAUGCAGCCAGGCCGCGUGUAUGAAGAAGGCCUUCGGGUUGUAAAGUACUUUCAGCGAGGAGGCGUUACUCUUAGAAGAAGCACCGGCGAACUCCGUGCCAGCAGCGGCGGUAAUAC